UUACUGGCCAGACAUGCAUAUAUACAGAGAGCGCCCUUAAAGAAAUAGAUGCCCUUUUUUUUCCAACGAAAAAAAAAUAGGAAUUAGUUGGGGGCACCACCUACAUCAGACUUCACAGGUCGAAUUGUUUAUCAUUCAAUGAACCUCAUAGAUUAUCUUUGUAAAAUAUUAACCAAUUUAAAAAUAUUUGAAGCAUCUAAUUGAGUUUAUUUGACGAACAUUAUGCUAAUAAAUAUUGAAAUUUCAUCGAAACAAAUAUAAUAGGGCAAAUUUGGAUUGAAUUGAAUUUUUUGAAGGAUGAUUUAUAAAUCGAAACUUAUAAAAUAGACGAUUCGAAUCAUUGAAGUUUGAUAUGAGUAAGUCCCACAAUUAAUCUUCAUUUUUUUUUUUGCAAAAACUAAAAUCGCUUCCUUUAAAGAACCUGAAUAUAUAUACACACACACACACACAUAUAUUAAUCUAUAUAUCAUUACAGUUAUAUAUAGGUUAAUGAAAACUUAUUAGUUUCGUGUUAGUUAAAUCAAUGAUUUUUUCCGCUUGGUGAGGAUUAGAGAUCAGCCAGCUGAAAGUAUAUUUGACGCCAUAGCUUUCCAAUCAGCACUUGUUAGCGGACAAAAUAGGAGUGUUGAUGAGCAUCGCAGCACAGGAAAUGGUUUGGAGGAUGACAAUAAUAGUUUGCAGCGUCAAGAAUUAGGACAAGUUAUCGAUGUCAACUUGUCCGCGUGGAAGGAUUUCUAUCCGACAGCGUCUUCAGGGGGACGAGGACUCUAUAUGUCGUCACAGUUCAAUCCACCACCAAGCAUCUUGCACCCCAAUCAAGAUCAAAACCAACUCUGACAUUUUAUAUAUAUAUAUACAACUCUGACAUUUUAUAUAUAUAUAUAUAUAUGUUGUGGUUACUACUCGCAUGAUUUUACUGCUUUUCCUUCGAGUCUUAUUACCUUGUUGAAUGUCAAUACAGAACUGUAAGAAUCCGUAAUGAACUUUUCCCUUGUUGCUAUCAUGCUAUAUAGUA